rnacentral:rRNA from 1 species
UACGUAGGGGGCAAGCGUUGUCCGGAUUUAUUGGGCGUAAAGCGCACGCAGGCGGUCUGUUCAGUUUGGAGUGACAGUUCCUGGCUCAACCGGGAAAGUGCUUCGAAUACUGGCGGACUUGAGGGCUUCAGAGGGACACGGAAUUCCGGGUGGAGUGGUGAAAUGCAUAGAUAUCGUCAAGAACACCGAUAGCGAAGGCAGCUUACUGGGCUGUAACUGACGCUGAGGCACGAAAGUGUGGGGAUCAAACAGG